ensembl:miRNA
GGCAUAGAAUCCUGUGGCAUCCAUGAAACUACCUUCAACUCCAUUAUGAAAUGUGACGUGGAUAUCCACAAAGACCUGUAUGCC